GUGGGACUGGGGGGAUGUGUGAGAGGUCACCUUGUGCUGGUCUCCCGGAGGUCCGCCCGCAUCCACGUCUUCCAAGUCAGGCAGGUCCUGGAAGAGAAGACGACCCCCGUCAGCAGGAGGGCACGCUCCCAACGCCCGGUCCACGGGCCAGACGCGGCCGCACAGCCAACCAAGCCUGCGCUACGUGCUCCGAGUGUGGAGGGGCCCGCGGAGUGACCCAGGCCACUCAGGCCACGUGCACGCUCGAAACACACGCAGAGGCAACACCAGACUCAACAUCGGGAUGGGGAGCUAUUCAAGCCUCCGAGCCCUGACUCGGUCCCCAGGCAGCCUUCCCUGGUUCCUGACUCCAUGAGGAGAGAGGAUGAGCCCAGGAAACGCAGCAGAGCUGCUCGUACCGUUUAUCUCCUAAUUUCCUGCAUCCUUCACGAGGCCUCGUGACUUGUAAGGAAAGACGGUGCGCCAUGCAAGAAAGAAACCAAGGAGUGACCAGGUCUUGGAGGGUCUACAAUCCCAUCCAGCAAAGUGGUGCCAGGAGCCAUAGAAAGCAGGGCUUCAGUGCCUCCCAGGGGAAAUUAAAUCGAGGCAAGUCACGCUUCUCGUAGAUGCAUUCCAGCCGCACACAGCCUCACGGCAAAGUCGGAAGAGGAGCUGCGGCAGCCGCCUGGCAAGUACGAGUUGGGCAUCAGCGCGGGGCAUGUCCCCUCCCCGGGAGCCUGUUCUCUCUGUGACUGUGGCUGUUCAGAUCCCACGCACUUUCCUGCUCCUUCCCUGCUCUCCGCCCACUGCUCCUGCCUCACCUGCUGGGACCCCGGGGGACUUCAUGAGCUCCAGCAUCCCUGAUGGGGGCCAGGGCCAUGGAUGUCAGCACAGUCACAGGUCACCUCACUCCCUACACCACCCCUCCUUCCUAAGGCGCUUCCUCCCCUUCCACACUGGCGCCCAGGUCCCCGGCACUGUCUGGCGUGAGCACCUCCCCUGAACAGAAGUCCACAGUGAGCU